AUAAUGACGGUACCUGUAGAAGAAGCUCCGGCUAACUACGUGCCAGCAGCCGCGGUAAUACGUAGGGGGCAAGCGUUGUUCGGAAUUACUGGGCGUAAAGGGUGCGUAGGCGGUUUUCUAAGUCUGGUGUGAAAUCUCCCGGCUCAACCGGGAGGGUGCGCCGGAGACUGGAGGGCUUGAGUGUGGGAGAGGUAAGUGGAAUUCCUGGUGUAGCGGUGAAAUGCGUAUAUAUCUGGAGGAACACCUGUGGUGAAGACGGCUUACUGGACCAUUACUGACGCUGAGGCACGAAAGCGUGGGGAGCAAACAGGAUUAGAUACCCUGGUAGUCCACGCCCUAAACGAUGC
rnacentral:rRNA from 1 species